rnacentral:lncRNA from 1 species
AUGACCAACCUGAGGAGACAGUCUUGCAGCGUAUAUUUUAAGGACAUAAGUGGAGCUAGAACUGUGAAGGAGACAAGUGCUCUAGUGAACACUUCCUGCCGUGAAGCUACCAGAUGGCGUUCUCAGCCCAGCCUUGACGCAGCGGCAGCCUCGGCUGACACGCCCUCGGAGGCGCCAGCUGGUAGCACAGUGUUCAGAUACGGAGCCCAGGACGAGCCUCUGCCGGGGUCCAGCCACAGGUUAAUAUUGAAGACAAUUCUUACGUCUCCAUGGAGCCACACAACUUCAGACAAAGCAAAGAUGAAAGCCACACCCAGAGCAAAUGUAGAUGGUUCACCAUCCCUUGGUGUCCUGGUUCACCAUCCCUUGGUCUCCCACUACCUGCUGAACAGCCACCAUCUCAUGAAAUUGGUUAUCUCCAGAAGUUUCCAGGCCAGGCGCCAAUAUGGGCUGAGAGUAACAUCAAAAACUCUACAGCUUGUAAAAUGAUGUUAAAGAGGUUUCUCCAAGGCGAUCUGAGUAAAAUACCAUCUUCCCUGCCGCAGGUUAGGACAGGGAAUUCCAGUGGCAAAAGGCUCACGCAGUGCUCCAAGCAGAGUGCACCUGCUUCCUUCCGCAAGAAAAGCCAAGAGCUGGAUGUGCGUUUGGUACCGCGGCUGAGGGUCACCCAGGACCUGUGUGGCAGACGACAGGUGUCGUCCUGUACUGGAAUAUUCGUUCCUCUGCGAUUUGGCCCCGUCCCUGCUUGUGGUGUGUUUCACUCAGCCUCGUGUUCCACGGUGGGGCUUGCUGGGAAGCUGUUUUCUCACUGAGUGGAGCCCACAGUUGAAAGAAAAGCAGCGUGCAUGAGCAAGAUCUGACUCAAGCCUGCACGUGAAUUAUGGAAGCAGGGCAACCUUUUCUGUCGAGACAAUUCACACUGUGGCGAUCCCUGAUUUGGCUCAGAUCUUGGCGCUGUGUAGAUGUUGAUACUGUAGUUGCAUCUCAAGAGGUUGGUCUUCUUCAGACCCGGGGGAGAGCUGAGAAGACACUGGAGCUCAGUAGCUGGACAAGAUCUCCUCCGGCGUCUCCAGUCUCACUUCCGAGAAAGGCCGUCUCCCGGCUGCUCCCUGAGCCCUUUCCAGAAAUGCCCCUUGACCUUGGCAGUGGUUUAAAGCUGCCAGGAUACUCAAAUUCUUCGGCCACUCACCGUGGAGGAAGAUUAUUAAACAGGUGUGUAGAGAACUUGGCCCUCCUUUUUGAUGACAGAAAUUCAUGUGGAGAUGGGAGAGAUUAGAUUUUUCUUCCACGAUCAGGAAAGCUGAAUGUUAUUUAACUGCACUGAUUCUAUGUUACUUCAAGUGGGUAAAAUAAAACUACAGCAAUUUCAAGUAUGUGAAGGCA